rnacentral:rRNA from 1 species
UACGGAGGGUGCAAGCGUUAUCCGGAUUUAUUGGGUUUAAAGGGAGCGUAGGCGGGAUUGUAAGUCAGUGGUGAAAGCCCGUAGCUCAACUACGGAACUGCCAUUGAUACUGCAGACCUAGAGUACACUUGAAGUGGGCGGAAUGUGUCAUGUAGCGGUGAAAUGCUUAGAUAUGACACAGAACACCGAUUGCGAAGGCAGCUCACUAAAUUGUAACUGACGCUGAGGCUCGAUAGCGUGGGGAUCAAACAGG